GUCUACGGCCAUACCACCCUGAACGCGCCCGAUCUCGUCUGAUCUCGGAAGCUAAGCAGGGUCGGGCCUGGUUAGUACUUGGAUGGGAGGAAGCCGGGAAGAGAGC
rnacentral:rRNA from 1 species